rnacentral:tRNA from 1 species
GCCUGGGUAGCUCAGUCGGUUAAGCGUCUGACUUCAGCUCAGGUCAUGAUCUCACAGAUCAUGGGUUCAAGCCCCGUGUCGGGCU